CUUUUACUUUCACUUUUACAAUGGACGUGGUUGUCGUAGGUAGCUGUAACAUAGACCUUGUAAGCUAUGUGCCUCGAUUACCAGCAGCAGGGGAGACUAUCGUUGGGAGUAAAUUCUCCCAGGGCUUUGGUGGGAAGGGUGCAAACCCUGCUGUGAUGUCCGCCAGACUAGGAGCCAAAACUGCCCUUAUUAGUAUGGUGGGUGAAGACUCUUUUGGCAAAGAAUACAAAGAGGACCUAAUCAAAAAUAAAAUUGAUGUCAGUCACGUAGGCACCACUUCGAAGGCAGCUACUGGUGUGGCUCCCAUCUUUGUCAAUGACAGCGCUUAUUUUCAGGAGAAAAUUCCAUUGUGGUUGUUAAAGGAGCCAAUGAUUACCUCACAAAAGAAUGUGUAGAAUCUGCUAAAUAUUUGAUUCAAAAUUCAAAAAUUCUUUUGUGCAAUCUGGAAAUUGACCCAAAAGCAACCCUUCAUGCCCUGAAGAUGGCAAAAUCCUUCAAUAUAAGAAGUUUAUUUAACAUGGCACCGGCCACCACUGGGCUUGAAGAUUAUUUCCAAUAUUGUGAUAUUCUAGUUGUUAAUGAGUCUGAGGCAGAAAUAAUCACAGGGAUGCAAGUGCCUGGGGUACAAGAGGCCAAAACCGCUGCAAAAUCAAUCUUACAGAAAGGUUGUCAAGUUGUCAUAGUGACACUUGGAGAAAAUGGGGCUGCUGUCAUGAGUAAAGCAGAUGAUGAAGCAGUUCACAUACCUACUCCUAAAGUCCAAGCCAUGGAUACCACUGGUGCGGGUGAUGCAUUCUGUGGUUCCCUAGCAGUGUUCCUGUCCACUAAGCCAGAGUUAGGUCUCCAGGAGUCUGUGUACAGGGCCAAUAGGAUCGCAGGGAUAACUGUCCUGUCCCCAGGGACCCAGACCAGCUACCCCCACUGGAAGGACCUCCCCCCAGAACUGUUCGGUGAGGAGAGGCUGCUAAAACUAGAGUAAAAUGAGCCUCAAAAGUGGAGCAAUCAAGAAGGAUAACUCUGUAAAAUCAGACUAAGAAAACAUAACUUCACUUCAUGGUUGUUGUUUAAUCCAAGAAAAAAAAAGAUAAAGCUAUCUAGCUAUGUUAAAUUGAUUAUUAUGAAUUGUGCUGGCUAUGUUAAAUAAAUUACAUAUAAUUUGAAUAUGCUAUCAUUUUAGAUCAUUUAUUACUUUGUAAAACUAGGCAAUUUGCUUCGUAGUAAUGAUCAGUUGUGAAUGAAUUAUGUACAUGCAUAUUCCAGUAUAAUUAUUUCUUAAUUCAUGUCAAACUGAAAGAGUUUUGAUGACGUUUUCCGAUGUUGUAUGAUUUUUUUACCGAUAAUUCUCCUUACCAAUGCAAUAUUUAUAUGUAAUCCAAAAAUUAUAUAUUUUCAUUACCCGGUAUAUUGUUAAUUUGUCAAAUCCUCAGGUUGAAAUUUUGGUGCUUAAUAAUUUGUACAGCUGCAUGCAUACAUGUCUAUCAAUGCAUUUUAACAGUAAUGUGUAAAUGAACUAAAACAUAAGUCAAUAAAUCAGUAUUU
rnacentral:misc_RNA from 1 species